CAAAACCACAAAGCUGAGAGAAAAAGACCCAACAUUUACAUUUACAUAGAGGCAGCUAGCUGGCUAUCUUCUACUCAAAUUAAUGGCGGAUGCAGCAUUAGUAUCUGAGCCCUGCCACAAGGACUUAAUAGAUUCUGACAUGGCGGCAGCGGCUGAGCAGCUCAUGCAGCUUAGCGGAGAUGAAGACGAGGACGACGACGAUAGCAAGAAUAAGAACGGUCAAACCAACAUGAAGAACAAAAGGAAAAGCAUGCAUACAGAGAAUGCUGCUGAUCAAAGCAAAGAUCAGAGUCAUCGGACGGGAGAAUGCUUGAGGCCCAAGAAACGGAGGUAUCGAUCAAUUAUACAUCUGUACAUGACAACGAAGCCGGUGAACGUUGUAUAUGGGAAGAAAAUCAAAUCCUGAAGAAAUUAAUUAAGACUAAAUAUGUAAUUAAUUAUAAUAAGAGGGAUAUUAAUUAUUUAGUGAGAUAUAUAGAUGUGUGUAGUGUAAGAGAUCGAUUUGAGCUAGGAUUCAAAUUUUAUACUACUUUGUGAUUAAUUAAUUUAAUUUUUGGGAGAAAAUUUGAAGCCUACUUCUUCAAGCUUCCUUGAAAUCUUCUUGCUUUGAAGAUUAAGAAUGGCUGCAAUACGAAUUCUAGCUAUACCAGCUUAAUUAAUUAUGAAAACCUGGCUGAAGUAGUUGUGUUAAUUUUAUAAUUUGUUGUGCAGUUCUUGAAAGUAACCGCUAGUUCUUAAUUGUAAAACCAUUUCAGCUACACAGUAGCAGAUGGUUUCCAAUUUUUUUUAUUAGUACUCUUUUUUCUAAACUAAUUCGAA
rnacentral:lncRNA from 1 species